rnacentral:lncRNA from 10 species
UGCUGCUGCUGGAAACCAGAGUCUUCUUUUGUUUUCCCUCUCACCUCUGGCUGCCUCUCUCUCCCCUCAAAGGUCAGAGCAGUGCCAAGGACAGAAGAGAGAGUAGAUCCAGCCUUGGCCCUGCUAGGCUGGGCAGCCUGGCAGGUAGAGUCAGCAGGGAUAGAGCUUGCUUUCCUGUUCACGAUCUUCAGCCAAGUUCAGGGAGGUCUGAAUACUGAGGCCUUCAUAGCCACUGCACCCCAGGUAGCUCAGGAGAACCUCCGAGCGCAGGAGUGCAAAGGCUGGCAUUCUUCAGGCUCUGAGGCUGUCCCUUCCGGUGGAGGUGAACUGCUUCUUAUUGAUGUGGACAAGACUGUGGAUGGAGACUGACAGGAUCCUGGCUUGGGGGCCUUCCGGCAGGGCUGGCUGCUGGGCUGGCAGGCUCUGGCGCUCCCCUUCCCCAGAACUGACUUUGUUCCUGGCAGCCAUGGUGGCUGCACUAACCACAUUCUGCCUCCACCUUUGCACUAAGAAAAGCAAAUAAGCAGACCACAGAACUGUUUGCAUUUGCCCCAGAUGCUCCCUGGCUGCGGGAAGAGAGCUUGGAACAAUGUCAUCAACUCCUCUUCGUUUUUUUCCAAACAACCUCCUUUAAGACACAGCAAACAGCAGUGCUGCGGAGGUAUGUCUAAUUGCAGAUACUUUUUGUUCAUCAUCGUAUUGAACGUCGUUGCGUGUUCCAGCAGCCAUCAACUUCCUCAGGAGGAAAAUUCAAUUGUGCACUGAGCGACAGCGUGAAGAGACCGGGCCAAGCAGGCAGGGUGCUGCAGGUCAACAAGGUGCUGCUGUGCUCCUGAAGCCUUCAGGAGCCUCAGCCUGAGAGCUCAGGAAAGGGUGGGGCUCCAACCCACCUGGCUUUCCGCCUUACUGAGCUCCAAACACAGGCUUGUUCCACAUCACGGAGAGCCCUUAUCCUGCAUGUGCGUCUCGCUCCCUGACAAGCCUAUUUGUGCCUUGUCACCAGAAAUGUACCUUUUUUCUUCUCUCAUCUGUCCCUGACACCCCCAGCUUAUCUAGCCUGAAGAGAGGCUAUCAAAAUGGUAAUAGCCAGAUGGAAAACAAGGAAAAAUAAGCCCUUUCCCAUAAGGAAGCAAUACGGAUUUUGGAACCGGAGAAAUUUCUACUAUUCUCCCAACAUCAUUCCCUCCGCCUUGGGUGUGCUUCCGAGAGGGUUGGAGGUGUCACCUGCCGUACCCUAGGACUGGCUGAGGGAAAACACACCUGAAGAUUUCCUGUAAAUGAAAAAGUGAAUCACUAAAAGGGGGAGCUGUCAUCCCCUGGCAUUUCUCUGUGCACAGGCGACCUAGUGUUGGGAUGGCAGCAGAACCCAGACAACUGAGCCAACACGUGGAGGGAAGCCCUCACUAGCCUGCAUUCGACUUGUGUGAGAGAGAAGUGAACGUUUACGUGCAAAGCCACUGAGCUUUUGUUGUUGUUCCUGCAGCACAGGGCAUUCUAACCUGCCUAAUACUGAAACGAGUACUGUUAGGCUUGAUCUGUGAAGAGGAGAACAUAAAAGGCCUGCAUAUUCUCUUUUAGGUCCUAAAAAUGCAGUGCUCUCUUCUUGGCCUUGCUGUGACCAGGCUGUUUAAAAUCUGUCACCCCGCCAGUCGCCACUGUAUUAUCUUGCUUUAUUUUUCUUCAUAGUAUUUAUUGAUAAUUUAUGUGCUUAUUAUGUCUCCCUGACUGGAAUGUAAGUUUCAUGAAGGCCAGGACUUGUGCCUUAAAACAGGGCCUGGCACAGAGUAGGCACUUAAUGUGUAUUUUUGAAAGUGAAUUGUGGGCUGAAAAUUCUGAUUUUUCAAAAAAGUUAAUAAAGGUGAAGGCCUUCCUUGCCUUUAUUAAAUGCUUAAAAUGGAUCAGUGGUGGGGUAGAGAUGGAAGGAGUCACACACAUACUGUACCUUCAACGGGUUUCAAUCUAACUGGGAGACAAAAUAUAGAAACAUGAAACAAGCAGAGAGCAAAUCUCUAGGUACCUAAGAGUUAAUUAAGUACUAAGGGUGUACUUAAAUUUGUGAGGGAGGAAGGGGAAGAGGACUGUCCAGAGGUAUGGCUAACUACCAAAAACUCUCUGGAGCAGACAGCUUUGGCAGCAGACUGAGAGCAGGGUUCUCCAAUUUGAGCUUGCAGAAGAAUCACCUGGAAGGCUUCUAAAACCUAUACUAUUGGCCCCACCCCCAGAGUUUCUGAUUCACUAGAUCUGGAUUAUACCUGGGGAUCUUUUUUUUUUUAGACAGAGUCUUGCUCUGUUACCCAGGCUGGAGUGCAGUGGCACUAUCAUAGCUCACUGCAACCUCGAACUCCCCGGUUCAAGGGAUCCUCCCACCUCAGCCUCCCCAGUAACUGGGAUUUCAGGCAUGUGCCACCAAGCCCGGCUAAUUUUUUUUUUUUUUUUUUUGAGAUGGAGUUUCAUUCUUGUUGCCCAGGCUGGAGUGCAAUGGUGCAAUCUCAGCUCACUGCAAUCUCUGCCUCCUGGGUUCAAGUGAUUCUCCAGCCUUGCCUCCUGAGUAGCUAGGAUUACAGGCAUGUGCCACCACGCCCAGCUAAUUUUGUAUUUUUAGUAGAGAUGGGGUCUCACCGUGUUGGCCAGGCUGGUCUUGCACUCCUGACCUCAGGUGAUCCACCCACCUCAGCCUCCCAAAGUGCUGGGAUUACAGGUGCCCACUGCCGUGCCCAGCUUAAUUUCAGUAUUUUUAGUAGAGAUAGGGUUUCUCUAUGUUGGCCAGGCUAGUCUCAAACUCCUGACCUCAGGCGAUCCACCCACCUUGGCCUCCCAAAGUGCUGGGAUUACAGGCCUGAGCCACCACACCUGGCCUCACCUGUAUUUUAAAUUGAGUUUUACUGGGUAACAGCCAUGGUCAUUCAUUUACAUAUUGUCAAAGGCUGCUUUCAAGCUACAACAGCAGAAUUUAACAGUCUCAAGACCAUAUGGCCUGCAAAGCCUAAAAUAUUUACUGGCCCUUUACAGAUAAAGUUUGCUGACCCCUAGAGAGGAAGUCAUGGCCCAUGGCUGGCAGAUGGAAGCCUCAGGACCUGAAGAUUUCUCAAAGAAAGGGACCUGCUGCUGACAGCAAUUAAUAUAUGUUCACAGCUUGCAGCUGAAGCCUGAUGAUGGCUGUAGGAGAAAGGACAUCACCCAGAUGACAUUUUGCCUCCAAAGCUCUGGGGACCAAUUGUGGAAGAACUGCAGGGAUAUUAUGUUAGAAUGUUCUUGUGUCUGGAUAGGAUGAGAACUGUCUUAUAACAAAGUGCAGCCCCCAUGUCUGAGGGCAUGUUUCCUGUGUUUAGGCACUUCCGAAGCAGGGAGCACCUUCAAGGGGCACUGGCCUUCCCAGAAACAGUGUUUGACCUGUGAUGAUGUCCUGGGGGAGGGGACCUAGGAAAAGACCUUAGCCUUUCCAUAAGGCACGAUUAUUCUCCUCUAUAGAGCCUCAAAAGUCAAGUCAAGUAGCAAGCACACUGUGCUCCAGUCUGUGGCCACAGACACACACAAGGACUGGAGCAAAACCAAACAUAGUGUAUCAUCACCGCUGAACCCCCAGGAGCCCCCAGAUGCUUUUGAACGUGAAAGGAGAAAGAAGCUGUCAGAGAUCAGGUUGAAUGUGGUGGGUUAGGUGUGCGGCAUUGCCUCUGGGUCCCUGCUUUGGUUUAAUUAAACUAAGUCUGGUGGUGAAUUGGUUCCCAAAUGUUCAUUGGUGGAUGGGCGGCAUCAGAAUUGUCUACAUCUUUUAAAAAACACGUACGCAAAACCUAUGCAUGUCUUCCUCUGAGAGUUUGAUUUUCAGCAGGCUUGGGGUGGAUUCCUACUUUUAAGAACUCCCCACGCCCGUCCUAAGUGAUUGUGAUUCCCAGUAAGUGAAUGCUGACAAAUUGAACCUUCCAGCAUGGACAUUUAUUUAUGAAAUAAAUGGACAUUAAUUUCACAGUCUUUCUAUGGAUUCGAGGUGGUGCUGGAUCCACAGGCUCACCUGGCCCCCUAGCUUUCUCUGCAGAAUCUGCCAGUGUGCCUUCAAUCCCAAAAGAAGUCGCUUUUCAUGUGCUGCUGGAGCUUUUGAUUGGCGGUGACUGAGAUGGGACUUUAAGUUCUCACCAGGAUGCAAAGUGGGGUUCCAACUUUACUGCUUUCUGAACCCUGCUGAUCUGUCCCCAACCAAGGCUUGAUUUUCUUCUGAAGCGCAGUAUUUUUAAACUGUGGUUGAAAUCUAUUCAUGGGCUAUAAAAUCAGUUGUUGAGGAUGUAACCAUUUUGAAUUAAUUUUUAAUUCAAAAAAUUAGACUAGAAAUUUUUAAUUUUAAUUCAAAAAAUAGACUAGAAAAAAAUCAGAGUGCAUCAUGUAUGGUAGGGAUAAGUGUAAUUCUUUCUGUAAAACUUGUUUUGGAGGGUAUGUUGUGCAUUGGGCUUCUGUGUAUUUCUUACUACGUUUCACAGGGAAACUGCUGUCAUCUCUGCAGUACAAUAUAGAUCAACAAUGGCCCUAACUUCCCUAAGACAGCUCUCAUGUCUGCUUGCAGAGAACAGAUGGAAAAAGUCACCAGGGAGGGUAGAUUGCCAUAUACAAGUACUUCAGGGAGGCUACCUGGAAACUAAUAGAAAACCAGUUUAUGGAUGAUUGCAGAGCCUGGGGAGAGAAAUCAAUCUUGGACAGUUUUAUGGAUGGCAGCCAACAGCCUACCAUGCUCAGCCCAUCGCACCUGUCACCUGGGGACAAGCAGGGUCUAUCUGGAACGGACUCUGGCCAGGAUUCAGUUUCUCUUUCCUCGAAAUGGGGAUAAUCACCCUCUUGACUAUUGCUGUUAUGGGAAAGGCCAAAUUAGGGGAAAAAAAUUCUGUCCAAUAAGGGAUGAACCACAAAGCUCAGGCCAGUAAUGGCCUCUAUUGGUGGUUUGGGAGGUAUGCUUGUAUGGGCAUUAAGGGAGAAAGAGAAGGUCUGCACUCUAAUCAAGUCUAGGCAAUGUGGGAGUUGGAAAGAGACACAUGGGAACACAGACCCAGUCACCUGAAGGCAAGAGCCUUUCUUUUUCCUCCUCUUGGCAGGCAGCGUGGGCUCCCGGGCCCCAAGCAGGAUCCCUUAGGGCUGAUCUCUUACCACACACUGGUCUGACUUGGUGACCUGGAAGAGGACAGUCAGAGCCAACAGGAUGAGGGGACCAGCUUGGAGAGCAUCUAUUGUAUGCCACCCUUGAGUGGCUGGAAAUGUCUUCUGCCACUUUGCAAGGGGCUGGGGGCUGGGGAGUGGGAGUGGCAAGGGAACACGGGGUGGUAGAUUGUUCCCAGGGCUGCUGGUUUUGGAGCAGUCUGACUACCCUCUCUUCUUAGUGGGAAAGAAAGGAGGAAGAAGGGGGAAGGGAUGCUUUUGGAGGGGAGCUCUAAGGGUGGGAGAAAAGAAAGCCUGAAAGAACAUCACUAAAGGGUCUGAAGUUAAAGACUCCAAUGAACAAGAAGCCCCUAAUUCAAACAGUGCCACUAACACCAAAACCUGUAAAGUGGUCCAGAGAGACCCUGGUCAUGUCUGUAACUUUCCUUUUUAAAGCUCUCGUGAAGUUAAUGAAUGAAAAAAUUGCUAAUGCAAAGAUGGAAAUUAAUAAAAACAAAAGCGUGCUUCAUAUUGCAGGGUGACCACCUCUAAUCCUACCAGUGAUCCUGUGGCUGUCCCUGUAACUUCCUUUGGCAACACCAUGCUUUGAGAAGCUGUGGGGAAGGCUGGCCAGGGAGAGAGCCUCACCCCCCAAUUCUGCCAGCUGAUCCCCCAGAGGGCUGCAAGGCUCCUGAUUUACCCAGACCUCUGGAGUGGCUGAGGCUGGGCUCUGGGGUUGGAUGGUUCUCACCAAGAGGCCUGGGACAUCUGCUCUGUGCUAAGCUCCGAGGCAGACCACAGAGGAGAUAAUGACUAAUCGGACCUUCACAUACAUUGUACAUGCCUUUUCUGAACUGAAAAAGAGAAGAACAAACAAGAUAAAAAUAUUGAAAAAAAAGAAGAAUCAAAUGUGUAGAAAAUGCAAGGUCAUUAGAACUGCCCAGGGCUUCAUUCAGGCAAAGAUCUUGAGGGUCUGGCCAGGGACCUGCUGAGUAAAUCUAGCUCUGGUUCCCCUCCCACAGAUUCCCUGCGCCUCCUCCAACUGCAUAACCAAAUCUCCCCACCUCCCAACUUUCCUUGAGCUAUUCUGCUGUUUUCUUCACUUUAGUUUUCUCACUGUAACCC